UGGGGAAUUUUGGACAAUGGGGGAAACCCUGAUCCAGCCAUUCCGCGUGAGUGAAGAAGGCCUUCGGGUUGUAAAGCUCUUUCGGCAGGAACGAAACGGUCUUUUCUAAUACAAGAGGCUAAUGACGGUACCUGAAGAAGAAGCACCGGCUAACUACGUGCCAGCAGCCGCGGUAAUACGUAGGGUGCGAGCGUUAAUCGGAAUUACUGGGCGUAAAGCGUGCGCAGGCGGUUAUAUAAGACAGAUGUGAAAUCCCCGGGCUUAACCUGGGAACUGCGUUUGUGACUGUAUAACUAGAGUGUGGCAGAGGGGGGUAGAAUUCCACGUGUAGCAGUGAAAUGCGUAGAGAUGUGGAGGAAUACCGAUGGCGAAGGCAGCCCCCUGGGUCAACACUGACGCUCAUGCACGAAAGCGUGGGGAGCAAACAGG
rnacentral:rRNA from 1 species